rnacentral:rRNA from 1 species
AGAGUUUGAUCCUGGCUCAGGAUGAACGCUGGCGGCGUGCUUAACACAUGCAAGUCGAACGGGGUUUAUAAGACAGAUUCCUUCGGGAUGAAGACUUAUAAACUUAGUGGCGGACGGGUGAGUAACGCGUGGGUAACCUGCCUUACACAGGGGGAUAGCAGUUGGAAACGACUGGUAAUACCGCAUACCUUGCAUUAGUCGCAUGACCUAUGUAAGAAAGAUUUAUCGGUGUAAGAUGGACCCGCGUCUGAUUAGCUAGUUGGUACGGUAACGGCGUACCAAGGCGACGAUCAGUAGCCGGCCUGAGAGGGUGAACGGCCACAUUGGGACUGAGAUACGGCCCAGACUCCUACGGGAGGCAGCAGUGGGGAAUAUUGCACAAUGGAGGCAACUCUGAUGCAGCGACGCCGCGUGAGCGAAGAAGUAUUUCGGUAUGUAAAGCUCUAUCAGUAGGGAAGAUAAUGACGGUACCUACAGAAGAAGCCCCGGCUAAAUACGUGCCAGCAGCCGCGGUAAUACGUAUGGGGCAAGCGUUAUCCGGAUUUACUGGGUGUAAAGGGAGUGUAGGCGGCAGUACAAGUCAGGAGUGAAAACUUGGGGCUCAACCCCAAGACUGCUUUUGAAACUGUACAGCUAGAGUGUAGGAAGGGCAAGCGGAAUUCCUGGUGUAGCGGUGAAAUGCGUAGAUAUCAGGAAGAACACCGGUGGCGAAGGCGGCUUGCUGGACUAUAACUGACGCUGAGACUCGAAAGCGUGGGGAGCGAACAGGAUUAGAUACCCUGGUAGUCCACGCUGUAAACGAUGAAUACUAGGUGUUGGGUCUCGAUAGAGAUUCGGUGCCGAAGC